ensembl:ncRNA F55C10.9 ncRNA
UUGGAAAGGGUGGGGUAGAGAAAGCUUUUAGUUUUAUCCAGAAGUUUUCUUGAUUUUUCCAGAUCUUUAUGUCUGAUGAAAUGUUGUUUUCCUUUUUUCUUUUAUAUCUUCUAAAAAUGCAAAAACUCGCCUCUUCAGUUUGUUUUUCGAAGAGAAGUUUUCCUUCUCGUCUGUCUACUUAACAAUCAGAUUUGAUUUACAGAAUCUUCAAAAGUGGAA